UUUGCCCUCGGGCGCAGCAGUGAGGAAUAUUGGUCAAUGGGCUUACGCCUGAACCAGCCAAGUCGCGUGAGGGAAGACUGCCCUAUGGGUUGUAAACCUCUUUUGUCAGGGAGCAAUUGGCGCUACGUGUAGCGUUAUCGAGAGUACCUGAAGAAAAAGCGUCGGCUAACUCCGUGCCAGCAGCCGCGGUAAUACGGAGGAUGCGAGCGUUAUCCGGAUUUAUUGGGUUUAAAGGGUGCGUAGGCGGAAUGCCAAGUCAGCGGUAAAAUCGCGGGGCUCAACCUCGCUCCGCCGUUGAAACUGGC
rnacentral:rRNA from 1 species